AUAUUACUCCCUCCGUCCCAUAUUAAGUGACUCAAAUUUGCCUAAAUAUGAACGUAUCUAUGCCUAAAAUGUGUCUAGAUACAUGUAAUAGAAAGUCAGUUAAUACGGGAUGGAGGGAGCACUAU
rfam:Brachypodium distachyon strain Bd21 chromosome 2, whole genome shotgun sequence.